rnacentral:rRNA from 1 species
UGGGGAAUAUUGCACAAUGGGCGCAAGCCUGAUGCAGCCAUGCCGCGUGUAUGAAGAAGGCCUUCGGGUUGUAAAGUACUUUCAGCGGGGAGGAAGGGAGUAAAGUUAAUACCUUUGCUCAUUGACGUUACCCGCAGAAGAAGCACCGGCUAACUCCGUGCCAGCAGCCGCGGUAAUACGGAGGGUGCAAGCGUUAAUCGGAAUUACUGGGCGUAAAGCGCACGCAGGCGGUUUGUUAAGUCAGAUGUGAAAUCCCCGGGCUCAACCUGGGAACUGCAUCUGAUACUGGCAAGCUUGAGUCUCGUAGAGGGGGGUAGAAUUCCAGGUGUAGCGGUGAAAUGCGUAGAGAUCUGGAGGAAUACCGGUGGCGAAGGCGGCCCCCUAGACAAAGACUGACGCUCAGGUGCGAAAGCGUGGGGAGCAAACAGG